AGUCAGUUACUCUGUGGCAGGGCUUUGAACCAGAAUUUUUUUCCUAACUGGUUUGUUCCGAACAGAAACAAUAUUUUAAUGUUUCCGGUGUUG